UAAUUUGAGAGUUUGAUCAUGGCUCAGAACGAACGCUGGCAGUAUGCUUUAACCAUGCAAGUCGAGCGAUAAGUAGUAGCAAUACUAUGGAAAGCGGCAAACGGGUGAGUAAUGUACAGGAAUCUACCUAGUAGAGGAGAACAGGCACUGGAAACGGUGUUUAAUGCUCCAUACGCCGUGAGAUCUUUUAGAUUAAGAAUUAUAAAUUAUCAAUUACGUUGUUUGUCAGUGUAAUUUAUAAUUUGUGAUUGACUGAUUUAAGGGUAGUCUUUCGGGAAAGUAGCAAUACGCUAUUAGAUGAGCCUGUAUCGGAUUAGUUUGUUGGUGGGGUAAAGGCCUACCAAGACGAUGAUCCGUAGCUGGUCUGAGAGGGUGAUCAGCCACACUGGGACUGCGAUACGGCCCAGACUCCUACGGGAGGCAGCAGGUGGGAAUAUUGGACAAUGGGCGAAAGCCUGAUCCAGCAAUACUGCGUGAAUGAUGAAGGUCUUCGGAUUGUAAAGUUCUUUAGAUAGGGAAAAUAAUGAUGGUACCUAUAGAAUAAGCACCGGCAAACUUCGUGCCAGCAGCCGCGGUAAUACGAAGGGUGCUAGCGUUGUUCGGAAUUAUUGGGCGUAAAGGGUGUGUAGGUGAUUUUGUAAGUUAAUUGUGAAAGCCUGGGGCUCAACCCUAGAACUGCAGUUAAUACUACAAAGAUAGAAUGAGAUAAGAGAUGGCAGAAUUUCUAGUGUAGGGGUUAAAUCCGUAGAUAUUAGAAGGAAUACCUGUGGUGUAAACGGCUAUCUUGGUCUUUAUUGACACUGAAACACGAAAGAGUGGGGAGCAAACAGGAUUAGAUACCCUGGUAGUCCACUCCGUAAACGAUGAUUACUAAAUGUCUGGUGGUUAAACACUGGGUGUUAAAGCUAACGCGUUAAGUAGUCCGCCUGGGGAAUACGGUCGCAAGACUAAAACUUAAAUGAAUUGACGGGGACCCGCACAAGCAGUGGAACAUGUGGUUUAAUUCGAUAGUCCACGAAAAACCUUACCAAAUCUUGACAUCCUGAUUACAGAUACAGAAAUGUAUUUUACAUUUAGUUGAGUCAGAGACAGGUGAUGCAUGGCCGUCGUCAGCUCGUGCCGUGAGGUGUUAGGUUAAGUCCUUUAACGAGCGCAACCCACAUCUUUAUUUGCCAACAGGUAAUGCUGGGAACUAUAAAGAGACCGCUAGUGAUAAACUAGAGGAAGGUGUGGAUGAUGUCAGGUCAUCACGUCCCUUAUGAUUUGGGCUACACAUGUGUUACAAUGGGAGUUACAGAGAGAUGCAAUGGAGUGAUCCGGAGCCAAUCUUUAAAAGCUCUCUCAGUUCGGAUUGCAAGCUGCAACUCGCUUGCAUGAAGUUGGAAUUGCUAGUAAUCGUAGGUCAGCAUACUACGGUGAAUACGUUCUCGGGUCUUGUACACACUGCCCGUCACACCAUGAAAGUUCUUUUCACCCGAAUUAUGUGGGCUAACCGCAAGGAGGCAGCAUAACACGGUGGGGGGGAUGAUUGGGGUUAAGUCGUAACAAGGUAACAGUAGGAGAACCUGCGGUUGGAUUACCUCCUUU
rnacentral:rRNA from 1 species